GAAUCUAUCUCAGAACGACUGGGGAUUGGUGGAGGAUGCAUUGUGGUUACGUUAAGUUACCCUUGGCUUCUCUGAAAUGGAUUGGCGUUGCGGCCGUGCCGGUGGUCGGUAUGAUACACGUCUUACCUGCUGUCAACUCGUGCCAGCCCAGCCAGGCCGAGACGACAAUGUCUGUCUCACACAA
rnacentral:misc_RNA from 1 species